UACGUAGGGUGCAAGCGUUGUCCGGAAUUAUUGGGCGUAAAGAGCUCGUAGGCGGUCUGUCGCGUCGGAUGUGAAAAUCCAGGGCUCAACCCUGGACCUGCAUUCGAUACGGGCAGACUAGAGUUCGGUAGGGGAGACUGGAAUUCCUGGUGUAGCGGUGAAAUGCGCAGAUAUCAGGAGGAACACCGGGGGCGAAGGCGGGUCUCUGGGCCGAUACUGACGCUGAGGAGCGAAAGCGUGGGGAGCGAACAGG
rnacentral:rRNA from 1 species